rnacentral:misc_RNA from 1 species
GAUGAAGAACGUAGUGAAAUGCGAUACGUAAUGUGAAUUGCAGAAUUCAGUGAAUCAUCGAGUCUUUGAACGCACAUUGCGCCCCCUGGCAUUCCGGGGGGCAUGCCUGUUCGAGCGUCUCCAGGACGAAUCCUCGCGCGAGUGAACGCGCGGUCGUGGCGGAGGUGGCGUGCCCGAGCAGGGCGGCCACCGCGCUGGAAUCCAUGGGCGGACGCCUGCCGCGUGGCCGAGCGUGAUAUGACGCAUUGGCGCUCGUGCGCGGCGAGGCUGCCAGCCCUGGCCCGUCUGUCGGGCGGGGUAGAUCAACACGUGGGAACUCCUCGAAUCAGGUAGGGAUACCCGCUGAACUUAAGCAUAUCAAUAAGCGGAGGA